CUUCUUUUUGCAAUUUGCGUCUCCCAGAGUACACUUUACUAUGUAGCGGCUUUGUACUGAGAAUUCUCUUUCAUACUCCAAAAGGACAUCCACAUUGAAACCAAGGCGACUGAUUCCAUGAAUCCAUGCUAGAUCCAGUACGAUUCGCCCAAUCACACCACAACUCUUAAGCCAGCGAGGCGUUGAACUAAGUCCAUUUGGCCAACGGCAUGUAUCGAAUGAUUCGAAUCCCCUCAUGAAAGGAAUCUAGACUUGGUCUUUUGAACAAAGACAAGAGACUUAUCACACGCCAAUCACGGAGCUUUUAUCACACAGUUGCCAAGUUGCAUAUAAAGAAUGAUGUGAUCAGUCAGAACCCGAGCCGUUGCUGGCAGGCAUGGCAUUACUGCCCCCAUUAGUGACCAGUCUAUGACUCUAUUGGCGUAGUUAUUUCUUCUCCUCAACCGCUACUCACAGUUGUCUUUGUACGUAGCAUGAGCGUAACAUCUACCCACUCCUGAUCCCGACCCAAAGGAUUCCAAGCCGAUCUACCUCGAAAUUACCCCCAUCUUUCUAACCCCAUUCUAGAAGGAAAACCAUACAAUUUCACCGAUAGAGAAACGUUUUAUUAUUAAACCGAACUCUGUGCUCUGCAGGAUCGUUGCAUUUGGAUGCUAUAGUCUGAUUUGGUUCCUGAUUUGGGGGCGAGUCGGCUGGCACAUGGCCCCA
rnacentral:lncRNA from 1 species